rnacentral:lncRNA from 1 species
CCGUACAUUGGUAGGAUGCAUAAAGAUCCAUUAAAAGGAUGUUUAUUGGCAAAAUAAAUGCAUAUCAUUUAGUAGGAUGCAUAGAGAUCCAUUGAUAUGAUAUAAGCAUGUCCAUCAAAGGGACAGUUAUGUGGGUUCAUCGGAGGAACCAAUAAAACAUAAUUUUGUCCGUAGGAGAGAAAAUUAUGCAAUUUUGUCAGAGAAACCAAAAAUGAAUACAUGUCCAUCGGAGGUGCAAUUAUGCAGGUUCCUUAGAGGAACCAAAAUAAGUGCACGUCCAUUGAACGGACAAUUAUGCAGGUUCAUCGAAGGAACCAAAAAUGAAUGCAUUUUCGUUAGAGGGACAAGUAUGCAGGUUCAUUAAGAAAACCAAAAAUUAAUCCAUGUCCCUUAGAGGGACAAUUAUGCAGGUCCAUUGGAGGAACUAAAAACGAAUGCAUGUCCAUCAGUGGGACAAUUAUGUAGGUUCAAAUGCAAUGUCCUUAUAUGGUAGUUGCAAGAAACCUCACCUUUAUUAUUUUACUGACAUAUUGGCUCUUUCGUACAUACCAGCACUCAAGAAAUGAUUAGUAGACACAAUGUCACUUUUGCUAACAACUACAGUCAAAUUUUGAAAAAGAAAUAAAGAAAGUAUUCACAAGAUAGAUGACUUUGCUGGCAAAUAUCAUCCUCUUUUCAAGGUGAACAUCUAAAUAAGAGGUCAUUUUGAAGGUAAAUAACUGGAUUUUAGGGACACCUAUAAUACCACUUUCAUUCAUGCUUAAUUGUGAUCCAUCAUUUGGUUAGGGGUUUAGGGAGGAGAUCAUUGCUCUUUAAUUGUUGUUUGAUCCGAUUGACUGCUCUAUAGUGCUGAAUCCUUUUACAUGUACCAUUUUUGAACAUCAUAUGUUUGUUUUGAUCAUAUGAUUUAUUGCAGUCUAAGAAUAGUGUCAUUGUUAACACCUCAUAUAUCACCCCUACAACCAUAAAAAGAUUGUUACUCUUAAAAAGAUCUAUUUCUUUCGGCUUUUUCC